rnacentral:rRNA from 1 species
CCCUACGGGGGGCAGCAGUGGGGAAUUUUGCACAAUGGGCGAAAGCCUGAUGCAGCGACGCCGCGUGGAGGAUGAAGGCCUUCGGGUUGUAAACUCCUUUUGCAGGGGAAGAUAAUGACGGUACCCUGCGAAUAAGCCACGGCUAACUCUGUGCCAGCAGCCGCGGUAAGACAGAGGUGGCAAGCGUUGUUCGGAAUUACUGGGCUUAAAGGGCGCGUAGGCGGCGGUAUAAGUCUGGGGUGGAAUCCUAAGGCUCAACCAUAGGACUGCCCUGGAAACUGUAUCGCUUGAGUCGGACAGGGGAAGGCGGAAUUCCAGGUGUAGCGGUGAAAUGCGUAGAUAUCUGGAGGAAGGCCAGUGGUGAAGACGGCCUUCUGGGUCUUGACUGACGCUGAGGCGCGAAAGCGUGGGGAGCAAACAGGAUUAGAUACCCCAGUAGUCU